AUCCCGGGGAUGUCGCGCGGCCACGCUGAUGCACUGCGGGCGGGCGCAGCGCGAGCCUCCCGAGCCGCCGCCGCGCCGCUCCGGACCCCGGAUUCCGCUUCUCGCCGCCGGCCGCCGGCCCUCCUCGCCGCCUCCUCCGGGCCCCCUCUUUCGGGCGGAAUUCCAAAUGCCGGCGGGCCGCGGCCAGCGCCCCGGAGAGGGGGCAGCGCGCCACCGCGGACAGGCGCGGACCCGGAGGCCGGCAGGACGCAGGGGCUCCACGGGCCUCGCCUCUCCCCCGCCUCCCGGAAGAUUCAAUGGGGGCAGAGGCGGUGUUGGUUUGCAAACUGGCCCCUGGACACAGACGGCAAGGAGAGACCAAGAAAGAAGCAGACCUCUCCAGAUGGGCCAAUGGGGGAGACCAAGACGAGCCAAAUGAUUGUAGCAGUGGAAAACAGAGCGUGUGCACCUGGCCUUGAGGAGAGGGAGCUUGACAGCUUUAGGAACGUAGCCUUGUUGUUCAGCCUGCAGCAGGACAGCCAGAUCCCCAGGGAGAGUGGAGCGAUUCCCCCUCCCCCCACAGAGAGACGCAAAGUAAUUCACCCAUCCUGGUGAGAUGUCUUACUGCAAAUUCCAGUAGAUGAUGCAUGAUGGGGGCUUGGUGUUUUCAUCAGUAUAGCACAUCGAUCCACGGAGAAAACUACAGAAACCAGUCCAUACAGAGAGGACUUUUAGGGUUCAGCUACCCAUUGAUCUGAGCCCCGGAACGGAUAUAACUUGCUGCACAGCCUUUGGAAAGCCAUGUAACAUCUCUGCGCCGUUUCCUUGUUUGUGCUAAAUUAUUGCUGAGGCCUCUUCCUGCAUCAGCUUUCUAUGCCACUGCAAUUUGACACAAUCCUUGACCAAAUCAUAAAUAUCUUGUUAAUGGGAUAAAAAUGAGUUCGAA